UACGUAGGGUGCAAGCGUUAAUCGGAAUUACUGGGCGUAAAGCGUGCGCAGGCGGUUUGUUAAGACAGGUGUGAAAUCCCAGGGCUUAACCUGGGAAUGGCGCUUGUUACUGGCAGGCUAGAGUGUGUCAGAGGGAGGUAGAAUUCCACGUGUAGCAGUGAAAUGCGUAGAGAUGUGGAGGAAUACCGAUGGCGAAGGCAGCCUCCUGGGAUAACACUGACGCUCAUGCACGAAAGCGUGGGGAGCAAACAGG
rnacentral:rRNA from 1 species